rnacentral:lncRNA from 1 species
UUAGAAGCAAGAUGGAGUCGGUUAGGUCAGACCUCUUUCACUGUCUCAGUUAUAAUUUUGCAAUGGCAGUUUCAGUUGUUGAUCUGGCAGAUGUUUUCUUUUCCCAUCUGGAAAGAGGAUCAAAGCAGAGGACAUUUAUGCAGAAAAGAUAGCAAAAUAUAUUCCAUGCUGCAAGGUUAUGUUAACUCUUCAGGUUUUUGUCACAGUAUAGUAGGAAGGAACUUUGUGUAUCUUAACAUUCCACAGAGCAUCAUAGUAUUUAUUAUAUUGAUGACAUCAUGUUAAUUGUGUUGGUGCAAGGAAGUGGGAAGUAUUCUGGAUACCUUGGCAAGACCCAUGGGUCUUGCGUCAUAGCCUGAGAGAUAAAUCCUACAAUGAUUUAGGGGUCUGCCAUACUUAUGAAGAUUUUAGGGACUCAAUGGUUUGGGCUAUGCAGGGAUAUCCCCUUUAAGAUGCCAAGAACCUGGACAUCCUCCACCAGAACAAUCUCACAACAUGUCAAGUUUCCAGAGAUUGCUACUGCCUUCUUAAGCAGAUUUUCAAUGACCUAAGUUCCACUGGAAGUAGACCUAACAUAACUAGGAUGAACAGGAAACCUCUGAAUGUGAAAGUGAACACUAUUAAUACUUACAUGAAGGCAACAGGCAUGAACUGGAACAACCUUGGCCAUGCUGGGACGUAUGUUCACCCUAAGCAAAGAUCAGGAAUUCAGGCAGGGCUUGGCUGAGUGACUUCUCUGUUCCACAUGGCAUUGACACGUCUCAGGGCCUCUCCAUGUGUUUUCUCGAGCAAUGUGUUUGGUCUUCUGGAAUUAUGAUUCAUGGAUUCAAGAGACCACGGUAGAAGCUUCUAAUCCUCUUAAAAAGCAAGACUGAUCAUGGGAAACUGUCCUGUCCACUAGUACAUUAUUUCAAUCAGAGGAAGCUACUCUCUGAUUUGUAACCUACUUCUGUCUCCAGGACAACCAUAAGACCAAAGGACUCCUUGGACACCUAGUCAGGAGGGUGGUGAGUUGAACUGAGCAAGCUUGAGCAUCUCAAACUGAAGUGGACACUUGCGCUUUAUACAGAGUAAGGCCCAAAUUGAAUUAACCUGGAGUGAGUCUGCAACAAGCCUAGCGUCUGCAUUUCUAUAACUGAUCUCAGCUAACACUGGAGCUACUUAAAUUCCCAAUGAUUUUAGAAAACUAUUUUUUUUAAAGUGUGUGAUUUGAAGGUAAAUGAACCUAUUCCAAUUUAACUGCUUUAUUUUUGUGGUUGCAUAUAUAAUCAUAUUUAAGCAAUUUAAAAUCCAAACUCCCUUUUGGAGCUGUUUUAUUUUCUGAAGGGUCUUCCUUCCUUUUUCUUAUGCCCAAGAUGGUGUCUGGGUGCAGAAGGAAGCUUAUUUACCUUCCGGCUUUGGGGAAGGGCUCCUUACCCAAGUGAUGUGGUUCUCUCGUUUCCCUGUUGAUCACCAGCUGAGAUAUGUACUCACCUCACUUGACUUCUAUCCUCACUGUGUCUGCUGAUAAAAUGUCAGUUUUGUCCUCCAUUAGCUUUCUGGCCUGCCUGUGUAACCCAAGGCCUUCAGUGUCAUCUCACCUCUCUCUGUAGUGACCCAAAGGCAAGUUCAUAGAUUCCUGACUCUUGGCUAGCUUCUAUGACUUUUUCUAGGAACAAGUAGGAGCUUCUGGCUCUUUUCUAUACUGCAAGGGAAAGUGUAGUAAACUUGAGGAUGGCUAAUACAGUCCCCUCUAACAACUCAUGCUUCUUUCUCCUCCACUGCAAACACACAUGCUGGUUUAGGCCAGCAGGCACUAUGUGUGGUGUGGUGGUCUGCCCUCUGUCCCAGACAGGAAUUGCAGUGCCUGAGGGCCUUUUUCCACCCAGGGCACAACUCGCCAGUUUGAAGUUUCUAGCUUAUCUAUCUUCUCUGCCUCAUUUCUGGCUCCACAUUCAACCCCUCCACUGGCUAAAUCUUAGGGGUCCAGAGUGGGACCACUGAGAUCCUAAAGAAUCCAGGCAGGGCGUGCACUUUGCUCCCUGCUAAGCUCUCCUGCUGCUCAGGAGGGGUGUGUGCCCUCUCCUCAAUCUGGUAGAUACUUCUUUCAUCAUUGGUUUUGAAAUCCUCCACUGAUGACUUUGUUGUUCUGGGUGUUUCCUCUGUCCUCUCCUCUCAUAUCUUAAUGGUGGAUAGGGUUUUAGGGAUUAAAAAAUCUCUGGAUUACUGAAAGGAAAAAUGUUUAGAGAGGCAUUUAAGAUGAUUUUUCUUAUUAUCACUUUUAAACCCACACUGAAGGUCUAGGUCCUAUACCUGUUCUGUUGGAAUCUUGGCCAAUCUCACAGUUUUUCUGGUCAUUCUUAGAAUAGUUAUAAUGGCCUUUGUUUAAAAAACAAUUUCAUAUGAAAACUAAAAUAUGCAGGUCAGCAUAAUAAUCAAACCCUUAUACUCUUACCUAAAUGUCAUUACGUAGGUUUCCCCCAAACAUCACCUCCUCAGGGAGGCUUUCUCUGACCAUUAAAUGUAGCCUCAUGGAAGUUCUAGGCAACCUUUGCCAUUUCCUGUUGUAACACCUUGAUUUAGUUCACUUAACAUAUACAUAUUGGGGGCUUACUACGUGGCAUCCAGAAUUAUUCUAGGCACUAGGAAUAUCACAAUAAAUAAGACAGAGCCGGUCCUUUACCUAGUGGAAGGACACAAGCACUAGACAAACAAUUAAAUGAGCAAGAAAAAUAUCAUUUAGCAGCAUGUGCUAUGCAGAUAAUUUUGUUUUUUGAGACAGAGUCUCACUGUGUCACCCAGGCUGGAGUGCAG